rnacentral:lncRNA from 1 species
CCCCUGUCUAAGGCCCCACCCCCACAGACUUAAGUGAAGACCCGCAUUCCUACUUUCUAUCCCAAAUGUUGCGUUUUCUAAGACCACUCUGGCCCGCCAUACCUCCAUCCUGGGCCUAUAAAAAUCCGAGACCCUAGCAAGACAGAAACGGAAGCUGCUGGACGACGAGAUGAAAAUAUCGGCCAAAGAAGACAAGCCACCGGACAUUGAGAGGACAUCGAGGGGAGCCCCCGCUUGUCGCACGCCCUGCCACAGGGAUGAGGGAACCUCUCCAGUUUCAAUAUAUGGAGUUUUGCUCUUGUUGCAUAGACUGGAGUGCAAUGGCGUGAUCUCGGCUUACCCCAACCUCCACCUCCUGGGUUCAAGCUAUUCUUCUGCCUCAGCCUUCCGAGAAGCUGGGAUUACAGAAUUCUUCAUUUUGCCUGGUGAGAAGGGGCGCAAGAACUACUGUUCAAUUGACAAUUCAUUCAAUUUUACAAGGCAUAUUUAUUUCUUCCUUCACAAUUUCAAAGAGUUUUGGGGGAGGAGAAAAACCUACUUCUAUUCACAAUUAGGAUGGCUCUGUUUGAGUUAAAAAUUCCACCCCGUGAAAUACCUUUGCUGAGACGUAAUGAAUAGUGUUAGUAAUGUGGAAGAGGCUCAAGUGGAUAGAAAAUUGUCAAAACUUUCAGUAAUCAAUAGGCAAAUUGUGCUUUAGCCUGAAUGACUAUUACCAAAUAGGCAAUUCAUCAUUUGUUAGCAUGUUAUAGCUUUUGUAAGAAAAUUAUUGUAAAACUGGAGCUCUCCCAUUUCAAACGUCGCUGUUAUUUAUUAAUGGUUAAUUAUGAAUAGUAUUGAGGUAAUAGAAAACAGCAAUACCUGUUAUCUAUCUAUGUCACUAUGCAUAUUUAUCUGUAUCUAUCUAUGUAUAUGUCAUUUUGGAAAAGGCAAGCCUAUAGUAAGUUCUGUAAUUUUUAUUAAAAAUAACAUAAUACUACAAACAUG